CUACCACUCUUAGCCGACGUCGUAUCGCCCGAUUUAAAAUAUUCCAUUCUCCCUCUGUAGCUCCCCAAAAUUUCGCCAAUACUCCGUAAAACAAAACCCUACCUCCCAAAUCAGACCUCAGAUCCGCUCCUCUCUCUCACUCCCUUACUCUCCGAUCUCUUCUCACCCUCUCACUCAGACGACGCCAACCUCCACCACACUCCCUUCGAACUCUCUCAGAUGUAGCUCCACCACGAACCUCCUCCACCGCCGACCCCACCGCUGAUUGCCUCGUCUUUUCUUCCGAUCCGACGCCACCAUCGACGCUGCACUGCCACCGCCUCUCCUACGAAGACGCCAACGCUGCCACCGCUCUUCCUGCGAAGACGCCAACGCUGCCAGACUCCUGGACGUGAGUUUUUGCUUCGGGUUUCCUAUCUUGAGAUCUACAAUGAGGUGAUCAAUGACUUGCUUGACCCCACUGGCCAGAAUUUGCGUGUUAGAGAAGAUGCACAGGUUUUUGCUGUAACCUAUUGUAUUUCUUUUUGGAGCAUUUUCCAGUAUUUUAUUUCAAUCUUCUUUUCAUUCCUUUGCCUAUAUAUUCUU